UACAGAGGGUGCAAACGUUGCUCGGAUUUACUGGGCGUAAAGCGCGCGUAGGCGGACUUGCAAGUCGGGCGUGAAAUCCCCGGGCUCAACCCGGGCACUGCGUUCGAAACUGCUUGUCUAGAGUGAUGGAGAGGGAAGUGGAAUUCCCGGUGUAGAGGUGAAAUUCGUAGAUAUCGGGAGGAACACCAGAGGCGAAGGCGGCUUCCUGGACAUCAACUGACGCUGAGACGCGAAAGCGUGGGGAGCAAACAGG
rnacentral:rRNA from 1 species